UACGGAGGGGGCAAGCGUUAUUCGGAAUCAUUGGGCGUCAAGGGCGCGUAGGCGGCCUGGCAAGUCAAAGGUGAAAUCCCUCGGCCCAACCGAGGAACUGCCUUUGAAACUGCUUGGCUUGAGGCCGGGAGAGGGUAGCGGAAUUCCCAGUGUAGCGGUGAAAUGCGUAGAUAUUGGGAGGAACACCAGUGGCGAAGGCGGCUACCUGGACCGGUUCUGACGCUGAGGCGCGAAAGCGUGGGGAGCAAACAGG
rnacentral:misc_RNA from 1 species